rnacentral:rRNA from 1 species
UACGUAGGGGGCAAGCGUUGUCCGGAAUUAUUGGGCGUAAAGCGCGCGCAGGCGGUUAAUUAAGUUGGGUGUUUAAGCCCGGGGCUCAACCCCGGUUCGCAUCCAAAACUGGUUGACUUGAGUGUAGGAGAGGAAAGUGGAAUUCCACGUGUAGCGGUGAAAUGCGUAGAUAUCGUAAGGAAGACCAGUGGCGAAGGCGAGUCUCUGGACAGCAACUGACGCUGAGGCACGAAGGCCAGGGGAGCAAACGGG